rnacentral:lncRNA from 1 species
CUCAUGGUCACAGAAAAUUUUUUAGAGUUAACAAGUUCAAAUUUAUCUGCAUAAUUGUGUGACAGAAAUGUACAAUAGGGUGCUUCAUAAAAUAUUACCAAGCAUGAAAAUAUAUUAUGCUUGGAUAAAACUCCGUAGCAGAAGCUGAAGAAGAAAAAAAGAAUGUUGCAUAUUAUGUCAAAUAAAAAAACAGACCCAGAUUUGAUAAAGAGAGAUUUUAUUUAAAAGGAUGAUUUUGGGGUGGGGUGAGGGUGGUAAGACUCUGUAAACAGGGAGAACACUCAGGCCAUAAAUCUACAAACUCUCAAGGGGUAGGCAAAAAGGGAUUUUCUUUUAUAGGAAGGAGUAAACCAGUCUAGAAAGAACCUGGUGUAGGCAAAUGGGAAUUGGGGCUAUCUGUAUCCGGUCUAGUAACAGGGUAUAGUGGGGAAUCGCCAUAGAGGGGAAUCCAUGAGUUUUAUCUCAGUCAUUGCAGUGAGCCAUUUCCAGAACCCGAGAGACGGGGUUGAGGUGGGGUUAGGGGGUAAGGGGUUAAUCAUUGCUGUUCUCUAGGAGCACAGUGCUUAGGUAAAACUCAACAUUGUCAUAAAUAGUUUUUUCAUGUACUUUAAAAAUGAAGGCCGGGCGCUGUGGCUCACGCCUGUAAUUCCAACACUUUGGGAGGCCAAGGCGGGUGAAUCACCUGAGGUCUCAAGUUUGAGACCAGCCUGGCCAACAUGGUGAAAUCCUGUCUCUACUAAAACACAAAAAUUACCUAGGUAUGGUCGUGGGCACCUAUAAUCCCAGCUACUCAGGAGGCUGAGGCAUGAGAAUCUCCUGCACCCCGGAGAUAGAGGUUGCAGCGAGCCAAGAUUGCACCACUGCCCUCCAGCCUGGGCAACAGUGCAAGACUCUGUCUCAAUAAAUAAAUAAAGAAGCUAGGCAAGGUGGCACAUGCCUGUAGUCCCAGCUACUUUGGAGGCUGAGGUGGGAGGAUCACUUGAGAAGGGCAGGAGUUUGAGACCACAGUGCACUAUGAUUGUGUUACCCUCCAGCCUGGGCAACAUAGUGAGACCCCACCUCUACAAAAAAUAAAUAAAUGAAAAUGAAUAAUAUUUGUAUCAAAUCAUUAUGAUAUUUAGACUCCAUUGCGUUCAUUUAAUGACGUCUUUUUAAGAUGUCCAUAUUAACAGAUGCUCUGUGACUUAACAAUGAGGCCAUGUCCGGAUAAACCCACUAUAAUUCACAAGUUGAAAAUGCACUUAAUACAUCUAACCUACCAAACGUCUAUAGCUUAGCCUGACAUACCUUAGAUGUACUUACAACAUUUACAUUGGCCUACAGUUGGGCAAAAUCAUCUAACACAAAUGUUAUAAUAAAGUACUGAACAUGUCACAUAAUUUAUUCACGACUGUACUGAAAAUAAAAAACAGAAUGUAUGGACACUUGAAGUAAGGUUUCUACUAAAUGUGUAUUGCUUUUGCACUAUUGUAAAGUUGAAAAAUGUUAAAUUGAGCCAUUGUAGGUCAGGGACCAUCUAUACUUACAUUUAUCAUAAAAAAAUUGCUAAGUAAAAAAACUUGAUGUCCCAGGUAUUCAGUAAGGGUGGUCUCACACUGUCAUCUUGACUGUGGAUGGUAAUACCCAUACCCCUUCUUUCUUAGGGAAACCACUAAACUCACCCUCCAACUUCUGCUAGCUGUGUGACUUUUGGCAAGGCUCUUGACCUUGCUGAACCAAGUCAGCCCUUCCCUUCUACCCAGAGGCUGCCCCUGGAUUGAAUAAAAAUAUUCCCUCCUAGGCCAGGUGCGGUGGCUCACGCCUGUAAUCCCAACACUUUGGGAAGCAGAGGCUGGUGGAUCACAAGUUCAGAAGUUGAAGACCACCCUGACCAACACGGUGAAACUCCAUCUCUACUAAAAAUACAAAAAUUAGACGGGCAUGGUGACACUUGCCUGUAAUCCUAGCUACUCAGAAGGCUGAGGAAGGAGAAUCAUUUGAACCCGGGAGGCAGAGGUUGCAGUGAGCCGAGAUGGCGCCACUGCACUUCAGCCUGGAUGACAGAGCAAGGCUCCAUCUUGAAGAAAAAAAAACAAAAAACGCCUCCUUCCACAAAGACGAGGGCUCCUUUAUAACAGAGCUUGUUUAGGCUGGGGCCUGGUGGGGAAAAACCCAUGAUCCAAGCUCUGACUUCAAGGACCCCAUCAUUUCCCCCUCCGCAUUUUCAAUCUGAAAACACUUGAGACAGGACUUGACCUGUUUUGCAUUUACAAAUCAUUAUGCUACAGUCAGAGUGCCAUUCUGCCUGCCCUGUGUACUCAUUCUGAGGACUUUUUGGGGGUACUGUGGGGAUCCCCAUGGUGCUGGGCCAGGUGCAGACUUGAAAGAGAGUGUUGAUCUGCUCAAUUUUUAGAGCAAUUGUUCUCCACGUGUCGUCCUAGCCCAGCAGCAUGGGCAUUUACCUGGGAGUUUGUUGGACCUACUGAAUCAGAAAAUCAGGCUGUGGGGCCCAGAAAGUCAGGGGAUGAGGCCCAGAAAGUCAAGGGGUAGGAUUAAGAAAAUUAGGGGGUGGGGCCCAGCAUUUUAACAAGCUGAUGAAAUAGCUAAUCCUGAGGCAUGCCGAAGUUUAGGAUCCAUUGUGUUGGAGAGUAUGAAGCUGACGACAUUCCCAGUGCUAAAUGUGAAUAAGGUACUUGUUUUAUGCACGCAGCUCCCCGCCUCUUAGCUCUCUUGAUCCAGCAGCAGCUGGACUUUGGACCUACCAGGACACAGCCUGGCACCAAGACAAUUAAGGUACCUUUGUACCCUCCCCCAACUCCUGAGAAUGUCCGGGAUUCUCAGGCCCAGGCUAAGUGUCACACGGCUAAUUUUUUAAUGGAAGACUGGAGGGAUUUGAUCGAGGGGAGUUUUAUUCUCUGCCGUUCCUUGCUCCAUUCUAGACUAGAGUUCCCUCACAUAUAAAAUUAAUCCUUCAUUCAGUGGUCCCCAGCCUUGACUCAACAUGCUGAACUUGAAAAAACACAGACGAGGCCGGGCGCGGUGGCUCACGCCUGUAAUCCCAGCACUUUGGGAGGCCGAGGUGGGCGGAUCACGAGGUCAGCAGAUCGAGACCAUCUGGCUAGCACAGUGAAACCCUUUCUCUACUAAAAAUACAAAAAAAUUUGGCCGGGCGUGGUGGCGGGCGCCUGUAGUCCCAGCUGUUCGGGAGGCUGAGGCGGUAGAAUGGCGUGAACCCGAGAUCGCGCCACUGCACUCCAGCCUGGGCGACAGAGCGAGACUCCAUCUCACAAAACAAAACAAAACAACAACAACAACAACAACAAAAAAGCACCACAGACGCUUGGGUCACACCCCACCCCAAGAUUCUGAUUUAACUGGUCUGGGGUGGGGCCUGAACAGGAAGGUUUUUAAAUCUCCCCAGGUGUUAGUAGUUUGUCGCUGAGACUGACAAUUGCCGCUAAAGUGGAGUUACCUAAAGCUUCCAGCAGAGGACGCUGCCUCUCUGCUCAUCCAGGGAAACGUGAGCCGGGAAACCUGACAGCUGCAGUUGCGAUGGGUGGGGCUGGAAAUCAGGCUGUUUCGUAAACCCGGUUGAUGCAGUUAAGGCGACGGGCCAGAUGCCGUGACCCUUGUAUCGCCGAGGUUUUUGUGUUGAGACUCCAAUAAAGUUACCUUAAAAAGUAGUAAGUUAGGGCCAGGCGCUGUGACUUACGCUGUAAUUUCAGCAUUUGGGGAAGCCAAGGUGGUAGGAUCACCUGAGCCCAGGAGUUUAAGACCAGCCUGAGCAACACAGGGAGACUCCGUCUCUACAAAAAAUACUGUAAUUAGCCAGGGUGUGGUGGUGGGUGUCUGUAGUCUCAUCUGAUCGGGAGGCUGAGGGAGGAGAAUUGCUUGAGCCCAGGAGGUUGGGGUUGCAUUGAGCCGAGAUCACACCACUGCACUCUAGACUGGGUGACAAAGCCAGACCCCAUUUCAAUAAAUAAAUAAAUAAAUAAAAACAGUAGUAAAUUGUCUAUUUUGCUGAGUGACCAAGAGAUAAGUCACAACCUCUGCAGGCCCUGAUUUCAGCAUUUUUAAAGUGGGGAGGGACUUGGUCUAUAUUCAUUCUUUCAAUAUAUAUUGAGUCCCCUGAAAUGGGCAAGAUACUGAUCUGGAAGGGGAAGGAUACAUAUUUAAAUAGGAUUAAAUUCCUACAUGAUAGGGGAGACUAAUAGAAAGAUGGUGGUUUCCAUUUUUUCCUAUUUCAGGAUGGCAGAUUUGUGGGUGCACAAGGCUGGUGAAGAGGACAACCAUGAAAACUAUGAAAGAAAAGGCAGAAGAGACCAAUAUUGGGUAUAUACCCAUGCUAUUUUAUAUUAUGACACUUCACUUGCCUACUUAUCGUAAUAACCUAGCAAGGUAGAUGUGAUCAAUUCUGUUUCACAGUUGAGGAAUCUGAGACUCAGAGAUGUUAAGUGACUGACUCAAAGUCACACAGCUCGUAAGCAGUGGAGCCAAGAUUGAAACUGGCACAUGUUUGACUUCAGAGCCAGGACUCCCCCCACCACUUAACAAAGGCUGUCAUAUCCAUCCCUCAAAUCAGGAAUGCACCCCACAUCCCCCCCCGAGAUGCUUGUUUCACUGAGACACAAUCUCUCCCCGUUCCAUCUCCAAACCAGCCCCAGAGGCUGAGGGCUGCCCAGGAGAGACUCAACUCCCCUCCUCUCCUGUUCUCCAGCUCUGCCCUUCCUGCCCAAUCUGGGCUUCUCUCCCGCUGUGAAGGACAGAUACCUGCUGAGUGACACCAAUUUGCAGACUUCUGAAGUGUAAAUGAGAUUUCUAAUAGGACUGGCUUCCCACUGGCUUCAGGCAGGGUUAGGAGUAAAGGGAAAUUUAAGACUGGAAGUGCAGAAGAAGAGAGCCAGUUUGUAGGAUAGGGAGCAGCAGAAGCAGAGGCAGCCAAAGUCUCUGGGUAGAAGUGAAGGGCUGACUUGGUUCAGAGAGGUCAAGUGCCUUGCCAGAGGUCACACAGCUAGCAACCGGAAGAGGUAGAAUGAGCUCAGCUAAUGGUUGCAUUUUUAGCAUUCCCUAAAUGAGUACGAUCCCCAACCCCCAACUUUAGUUUGUAAUAUGCUUUAGUCUCCUCUGCUGUAUGGAUGGAGGAGGGUGGGAAUAUACUUAGGAAUAGGGAGGGCAUUUGGAUUUGUUGCUUGAAAAUUAAUCUCCACUGAAAGUGUCAUCACUGUAACUUGGUGCUCACCUUAGGGCAAGGUACCCCCCAGGCAGAGGGAUCCCAGGCAGAAAGGCUGGGAGGCCAGGCAAGGUGGCUGAUGCCUAUACUCCCAGCACUUUGGGAGACCGAGGUGGGCAGAUCCCCUGACGUCACGAGUUCGAGACCAGCCUGACCAACAUAGCAAACCCCUCUCUCUACCAAAAAUACAAAAAAUUAGCUGAGUUGGUGGCAUUCACCUGUAAUCCCAGCUAGUCGGGAGGCUGAGGCACAAGAAUCACUUGAACCCAGGAGGUGGAGGUUGCAGUGAGUCAGGACUGUACCACUGCACUCCAGCCUGGGACAGAGUGAGACUCUGUCUCAAAAAUAAAUAAAUAAAUAAAUAAAUAAAUAAAUAAAUAAAUAAAUAAAAGGCUGGGAAAUGCUUUUUCUGAUCACUAAUUCUAAUUGUAUUCCUGCCACAGUGGGGGAUGGUCCCCAAGCACUGGGCUUUUUUCCCUUGGCCACACCUCUGGAUGUAGCAGCACAGAGGCAGGUACUGGGACCAAGAAAUUCCAUACACACAAGUCCACUCCCUCAGCUGUGGAGCAGGCACCAGACAAGCUCCGAGGUCAGGUGUGUCCCCCCUGCUGCCAGGUACACUGAACAUCCGGGAACCUCGGUCUCCAGUGCAUACCUCUCGGUGCCCGCAUACACUGUGGCUGUCGGGCCACAGACAAUGAGGCCCUGAGCCCCAGGAUGUGGAGUCACAAGGUGCCUCCAUUAUAGGUGCCCCAAAGUGAUUGUUGGGGGAAUUAGUAAUUAAGGAGGGUUUUUCUCCCCCUGCCCUUCAGGUAGUGGUAUGGAAGCAGUCCACUGCUCCCUGAAAACAGAGACCCUGCCCCACUUCCCUGCUCACACCAUAGUUUGUCCAUGUUUCUGGAAGAGUCUGCCGAUGGGUGUUUAGGGUGGUGACCUGAGAUGUUUUCUAGGAAACACAAAAGAUACAAAAAAGAACACGUGGAAGGAUAGCCAAAAAGGGGGGCUGCCCCCAUUUCCUGCACCCCGCUGCGAUGGCUGGCACCAUUAGGUAGACUGGGAUUUGUUGUUGAGCGCAGUAAGACAACAACAAAAUCACUAGUCUUCCAGAUGGGGCCAGCCGGUCCACUCUGUAUCCAGGCCAGUUCUGCAAGGCGUUCGAGGACCACCCCCCUCCCCUCGCCACCAGGUCAGCGGUCUGGAUGCUCCUUCAGGCGAGGCGUUGUCUCCGCUCCUAUUACUAAGUUCAUCUUUGAACACCUCUCCUCACCUCAGAAUUCCCUGGAGAAAUUAUUUUUUCUUACUUUUCCCUUUUUUCUGGAGUGUUCUACUUUCUAUAAUGGACACAGUUGUUUUGUUUUGUUUUGGUGAGACAGGGUCUUGCUCUGUCACCCAGGCUGUAGUGCAGUGGUGCAAUCACAGCUCACUCCAGCUUCAACCUUCCAGACUCGAGUGUUCAAGUGAUUCUUCCACCUCAGCCUCCCUAGUAGCUGAGACUACAGCUAAUUUUUUUUUUUUUUUUUUUUUUUUUAGUAAAGACAAGGUCUCAGUAUAUUGCCCAGGCUGGUCUUGAACUCCUGGGCUCAAGUGAUCCUCCUGCCUCAGCCUCUCAAAGUGCUGGGAUUAUAGACGUGAGCCACUGCACCCAAUUUGAGCAUAUUUCCUUUACAAACAGGGGAAUUAUUUUUAAAGAGAAGCAGGCAAGUGGCUCAUUUCUCUCUUUCCUUUACUAAUCAUAAAGCAUUGAACCACCAUGCAGAAGAGAAACUAGAGCUUGGAAAUGGUGACCCCUCUCUACUGGUGCCUCCCCCUUCUGGAAGCCUAUGGGCAUGGCCCAUGGUGAAAAUUCUUCCUGUGGUUACUGAGCCCUGGAAGCUUCAGAAUGAAGUCAGAGUGGUGGUGCUGGGGUAAGCAGAGCAGGAAGAGGAAAAGGGGAAAUGGUUGUGGACAGGAGGCUGGUGGAAUCCUGGCCCAGUCAUCCCCUCCCUGCAGGCACAGCGCUGGGCUCCCUGGUUAAUUUCCCUUGCAGUGUGGCACUGGUGGAGGAGAGGCAAAGCCCCUGCUGCCUGGGCCAGCCUCUAAUUGCGCUGGCAGGACACAUCCGCUCCUUAAUUAGCAAAAGCCACAAUAUCCUGGCGGCUCAGAGAGCAUGGCCCUAAUUGUAUUUCUGCAGCAACUGAAGGAUAAUUACCCUUCCCUAUUGGUGCUGCUUUUAAUUCUUUCUCUUUUUAAUUGUGAGCACUUCCUCUUUAGCCCACCCUUCCAUCCUUGGGUUUAUUCUCUCUAUCCAGAAUGGGGGUGGGGGCUUGCCUGGUGAUGGAGACGCUCAGGAGCAGGAGGAGUGGGGGGAGUCAUGGAGAAGACUGGCAAUACCUAGCUCUGAGUCCCAGCCCCUUCCAGCUGUCAGCCUGAGACAGGGCACAUCUCUGCCAUGGGUCUGAGAAAAACCAAGAAGUUCUUUUGUGGAAGAUGUAAGGGAGAGGUGUUCCUCCCCCAGAGGCUCUUUAUGACCCUCUUCAGUCUACCCCGCAGUGAGGUGCUGGCUCUGAAAUUCCCAGCUGUAGAAAACUGAGACCUCCUUUCCCCAUCCUUUAAUCUAUCAAGAAACAGAGAUGGAUGUGUGGUCUUUAAUUUCUUUUACAAAAAAAAAAAAAAAAUAGCCCCGUGCCUCUUUGCCACUGUUGAGAGGAGGGUUAGUCCUUCAACCUUGAAUUGUUUUAGAGACAAGGACCUGAGGGUACCAUUAGAGAACAAUGCUAACUAAGGUAACCCCUUGGUUAAUAGGAGAGCUUAGCACCCUAGGUAUUUCUAGGAAAAACAGGCCUUUCUUAGGGACCUGGCAAAUAAACUUUGAGAAGUAAUAGACAAGCUAAAAUGCACCACAAAGAGAGUUUGGAGAGAACCACAGCAUCUCUCUGGAUGUCAGCUUGCAGGACUGACUGAUCUAGCUUACAUGAGCAACCCUGGCCCUAAAGCCACCACCCAAACCACUGCCCUGCUAGAAGCUCACUAUGAGAGCAGGGACUCUCACUCAUUAUUCUUCCAAGUGCCUCGCGCACAGCCUGGCCCGUGAUAAAUGAAACUGGUUGGCAAAGAAGCAGAGUUCAGAGACAGAGUAGGAUUGUGAGGUGUGAACAGGGUAAAUCCAUUUUCAUUGGCUUUUUCCUUACAGAUCCAAUGAAGAUGAAUUUGAACUGAUUGUGGCCCUAGUUUUCAAAAUUCUUUAAUUCUGGGCUCUAUCUGAAUUGGGAGAAGAUGCAAGCAAUAAAAGAGGCUGCUGUAGUCUCAAAGAAAUAUAUUUUGAAAAAAUGACCUGCCCUUGAGCCCACCAACUUCCACUCCCCACUUCUAAUUUCUUUCCUCUGAAUUUAGAGCUGUUCCCUUAGCAACGCUUGUUUCCAUGGUUUCCUCCAUGACAAUGAUCCCAAACCCCUCCUCUCUUUUACCUCAUGACAGUAAUGGAUGAUGGGGAUCCUCAAUGUGGCCACUCCAUGUUACCAUGGUAACAAUUAACUGAGCCUUAAUUUAUCUUUUGUGAAGAGGGCUAGGGAAUAUGAAGCUUUUGAUUUGGAGGGGGAGGGUCCAGGUCUAGAGCUACCAUUCUCAUAAAGAAGAAGAUAAGCUAUUUGUCUUAAUACUAGCCAGUAGGAUUUAGUUCAAACAUUUGUUCAGCCCUACUUUAAGCACAACUGAGUUUGAGGGAAUCAAAGGGGUACAAGACAUAGCUCCUAAUAUUGAAGGGCUAAUAGUCUAGCACUAGGGCUCAUGGUACCGCUGAACUCUGGCACAGAUGGGGCCAAUAAAGAAUAUGGCUCUUGAUAGCACCGUGAUGAUCAGGCAUCUAUCCAUUCCCAGUAUCCCCUCCUGCCAAGAACCAAAAAAAGACUGACUGAAGUGGUCUGUACUCACAUUAAGACUUCUUCCGGGCUGUUAUCAGAGAGUUUCUGUCCUGAAAGGGAAAGAACUUUGACUUCCCCUCUUUUAGGGAAGUGGGGACCAAUGCCAGCAUCCCUGAGUAGGACUAUUUGGUGCAGGAAAAAAGAGAAAAAUAAACAGACCUGCCCAUUGCCAGUGCAACAAAGGACUGGGAUAAUCUCCAGUUCCAGGAUAACCAUCACCUACCUGCAACAAGUCUUCCUGGGAAGCGAUGAGUCAGCUCUUACAUUGAAUUAAAGAGUCAUUGUCUCCAUCCAUUCAGCUUUUCUAUUUGUCACUGAAAAUUCAGGCCAAAAGCGCAGCUCUGAAGAAUGAAAGUGGAAAAACAGACAAAUAAAAAUCAAAGUGAAGAGGACACCAAACACCAAACACAAAACACCAAAGCUGAGAGCUGAGUAGAGUGAAUCCACAAGCUGAGAUAUCCAUUCUGCAUCACAAGCAAUGCAGUUCUUCCGACUUCUAGCUUUCCAUCUUCAUCUCCAAAAGUUUUCACCAAAUCUCUAAUAAUGAGGACCAAUUAUCUAUUUUUAGGGGAAAUCACAAAAUUCUCUGGACCCUCAGUGUGCUGGUAACAAUAACCUGCACUGACUUGGAAAGAUGAUCACAGUAUCUCCUAAAAUGAAGGGGGAAAAAAGCCAUAGGACAAUGUAUAAGGCAGGUAUGUUGAAGUAAGCUGCGAAUAGGUAGGUAAAAAAUGUCAUCCUUGCAAGUCAGUGCAAUCUGGAUUAGCCAAAGUCAAUUCCAGAUCCUGAGUCCAGGACUCUGAGUUCUGUCCUUUGCUACUGGAUGGAACUAAGGCAGAUUCAAUCCUUCUGUGUACCCUGCUCACUCAGCUAGUCAGAAAAGGAUAAAUGGCAUCCUCUUAUUGGUUGACAAGGCAAUACACACCAACCAAUGAAAGAAUGCUUCUUCCUUUCCAGCCAAUAAGAGCUCAGUUAUCUUCUUGAAAGUAGACCCUUUGUCCAUAAAGAAAAUAAGCAGAAAGUGAAUAAUAAUUAAAAAAAACCACACAACUGUUGCUAUGGGACAUUACUGAUGUGAUCAAUGAUAGCUGCCCCGGACAAUUCAUAAAGGAAAGCACUUCUUUGGGAAGAAAAGUACAAAAAGCAGACCAGCUGUCUGGUCUGGUCUAAAGGGAAGUUUCUAUAGUAACAUGGGAGAGAAAAGCAUUUUAAAAGCAUUUUAAUGUAAAUACCCGCAAAACUAUCAAGUCAGUUCACCGAGCGAAUUUUUGACCUUUUAAACUUAUGCUGAAAUUAUAAUGAAUAAAAAUUCUUAUAUUAAUAAUAAAUGAAGGAAAUGGAGAGAAAAGAAGAGAACAAGAGGAGAAAAGAAAAGACCUGUGUGUUUAUGGUUCAGGGCAUCACAGAUAAAGAUAUCACAGUUCCUGCCUGAAACAGAAAUGUUCUCCAACCCCGUGUUGUCAAGUAAUAUCUCAGUUUAAAACAAACUUCUUUUUGUUGUUGUUAUUGUUGCUGUUUUUCGGGAAAGAGAACGUUCAUGGCACUUAGACUUAUUUGAGAUGAAACAGUGCACAGAGCACAGGCUGUUCUGGUAACUUGCUAGCGAUUUCCUCUCAAAUCAUUCUGAGAAUGUUACAGCUGCCUUUGGAAAAUUAUGAGUAAAAUAAUUUCCUACCCAGAUGUUUCUAAUGGACAUAGGCAGGGCAAGGCUGACAGGUGAAAGUGGAGUCAAUGUUUGUCAAUCAAGGGAAACAGAAAAACUCAGAGGAUUAGAAGCUUUAGGUGCUGUAUUUGCUAAUUAUGAAGGCGAUGCUGGGGAGGAAGAAGAGAAGAGAAUCUUGAGGAAUCAAAUGAGAGUGAUGCUAGUGUCCAUCUGCUAAGGGAGACACGUUUCCCUCUACCUGUGCUUUCUAUGUGGUCUAUGGGGCAAGGUGAGAAGUGGGGGUAAUCCAGAAUUCAGCCCUCUCUCCCCUGAGGGGAGUGGUUUAGUGGGGCAGGGAUGACUAUCAAACCAGGGAGAAAGUUUCUCUCUACAGUAGACACCCCUGGACAAUUUCCUUGUCUCCCUCCUGUACAUCCAGGAAAAGCAAUUUUUUUUUCUCAUUUUAAGGGGGAAAAAGAGAGGGUGGGGAUAGGAACUCAGCUCCUUCAGUAUAAAGGACUAAAUGAAAAAUAUAAAAGCCCAAAUUGUAAAUCCUGGAGAAAUGAAGCCAUGGGGUGGAGGGGGGAGGGGAUGACUGUAGUGGUGGAAAGGUAAGUUGCUCUGCUAUGCGCCUUUACUUAAAAUAAAAACAAACAAACAAAAAACAAACAUCUUCCAGGAUUUCCCCAGACGGGGCCUUACGCGGGAUCGAUGUGCCUCUCACCUAGCCCAGACAAGGCAGGGGCUCCCCAGGAGAUAUUUUAAAUAGUCAAGGUGCUCACUGAUUAUCAGUGGCCAAAGCCCCGCCACCCACCGUAACCAAGGCAACAGGAGGCAGGUGCUGCGACUGGUUGCCUGGUAAGCAUGCUAGUGCCAAGUCCUUUCCCUUCCUUCUCCACCUCCGUUAGCCCUUUUGUGAUAGCGCCUCUCCCUCCGCUAUCUUUCCCCUUCUUGGCCAAACAAUAAUCUUUGCUCCUCAUACAAAGGUCACUUUGGGCUCCUUUGGGUAAAAAAACGCGUACCUUGAUGUUCUUUUUGAACAGAUUUCAUCCACGCUUGAGUUUUGAGACCUAGAUAAAAUGUGCUUCUUACCUCGGCUUCAAUAUCUUCUCCCUCCACCCCACUCUUUCCCUUUCACUCACUCCUAUUAAGGCAUACAGAGAGCGCGGGGAGGAAGGAAGGAAGGGAAAAAGGAAGGGGGAGAGAGCGAGAGGGAGCACGGGGGAGCGCAGGAUUUAAAUGUGGCGAUUUUUCACGGAACACCAGAGCCUGGGGCUCACAGUAGAUCCUCUGUCCCGCUUGCCCCUUUGCUCACCGCCUGCAAUCGUGCCUCUGCUCCCCGCACCACUGCCUAAAUUUGGCGCCAAGUUUUUCCACUGGUCGUGGCCAGAGCGAGAGAGAAUGCUCUCCUAGAAUCCCACACCUAAAUCCCUGGAGAAAUGAGGAAGAUGAGUCCCGCUUUCUUCCGCGAACCUGUGUCACCUCCUGACCUCCUCCGCGUGGGGUCUGAGGGGCCGCGAGCGCAAGUGGCGUGGGCUGGGAGGCCGAGCCGUGCGCAGGCACCGACCAUGGGCACCCUAGGGCCGGGGCGCUGUCCAGCCUCUGGUGCUGAAGCUGCAGGCUCGGAUUCGCUGGGGGAGGGGCUCCAGGGACCUUUAGCAGCCUGAUUCUGAGCCGACUCCAAGCGGGUAGCGACUCGAAGGAGAGGCGCUUGGUCUGCCGAGUGGAAAGGCUACACUGGGAAGUAACGGCAUUAGGCGCUCUCUUUCAGCAGAUAGGGCUCUCCCAGGGCGCAAUCCCCGGCGCCUCUGAUUCCCCUCCCUGGAGUUAUUUGCUGCAAUUGCGGUGGGUAGGAAGAAAGGCCCUUUGCACUGGGGCGAUUACCCAGUGGUCUCCUGGUACUUUUCACAUUUUUUCCUGCGGCUCUGGGCUCUCUGGGUGCUGGCCAGCCUGGCGCUCAGAUCUGGUGGCAGGCAAAGCAAAGAGGAGAGGCUUGGAACGCCGAACCCAGCUGCUCUUCUGCAUGCAACAAGUCAGCUGCAUCUAGAAUCAGGGGCGAGAAGCGCGGGAGGAGGGGCGACGGCGGGCUUGGGGCGGCUGGGUUGCGAGAGCCGGCUCCCGCGAGGCUGUGGGGCCGUCUUUCUCCUACUGGGCGCGGGACCGAGCGAAACAAACUGCAAGCUGGGUUUCCGCGUCGCCCCGGGCAGGUACUGGAACCAGACGCCCCCACACCUCUAGCCUGCCCAGCAUCCCGUAGGAGCGCUCACCUGCUGGGCUCCGGAGUCGCCUUCCUUCCUCUUCAUUUUGGCAAGGCACAUUUGGCGGGUGCCAAGCCUGGCCGCUCGCUUCUCCGGCCCUCCAGAGCAGCCUCAGGCUUAGCUUCCCGAAUAUCAGCUCCAGUUGGCUGCUUCUCCAGUCCCGAGCCCUUGACCUGGAGGAGGGGACGGGACCGGGGACCUCGGCUGGGAUUUUUACCUGGCAUGGGUCGCCGCGGCUAGGGAGGAAGACCACUUGCUCUCCGUUUCUUUCUGGAAGAAAGCCCCUCACCACCCAGCUGCCGGUACUUUGCUUCCCCCCAGGAGCCGCAGUGCAAGUAGCAGCGCAGUGCGGGGGAGGGGGUGGGGUUUGAGGAAGCUGUUUGUGAAGUGCCCCUUGAAUACUUGCCUCUCUGAGGCCAUCAGUCCUGUCCGGGUCCGUAGUCCUGGCAUGGUCCGCCGGGUGCAAACACAGUCGCCGCGGCUGCCGGGCCAGAGGAGAACAGCUGCUUUAAAGCUGAGACCAACCCACGGGUGGCCUGUCAGGGCCACGGAUGUUCAUGACGUCAUCCUGAAGGCGAGCGGAGAAAGCGAGUGGAGAGGGGGGAGCCGCGCUUCACAUCAAAUGUCCCCUGUGGCCAUGGCAACAGCUUUGGGGGAGGGGGUGCCGGUCCGCGGGCCAGCAGCGGGCAGCCUGCGACUCCUGCCAGGGUCCAGCGCUCCGCUGGGGUAGAGUCCGUCAUUAGUGCUGAAUCCAGUUGUGCCCGGACCAGAAGAGACACCAGAGCCAGUCCCGUCCCCUCCCCGGGCUGGUCAUAGCAGGGCCAUUUCCUAUUCUUCCACCACCUUACCUGGGCAGGUCAGACCCGGUUCACCUGACCGCUCACAGACGUAUUCUCACUCACUCUCGACCGACGCAUGCUGGAGCAGAGCACACCCAGGCAGCGCCCAAGCGGGACUCACCCACCUGCCCGGGUCCUCGCCUGCACACACGACAAACUGAGGCUUCAAAGCAGCCUUGAGAGCUUCAGAACAUGACAAACCCACUACUGAUCCAGUGCGCAUCUAGGGGGCGCAAACUGGUGACCAACGAACCAGACAGGACACAAAAAUGCCCAACCCUGGACGGACACACAAAUAUCUGUGCUGCCCACAUCCAGCCAACACAGGCAGCAGGAUAUUUCCUCCUAGUCAGACUGGUGCCGUGCCAGAAGCCACACAGCUGAUAAGUGGUGGAUCCAUCUUGAAUUUGACUUCUAGACACUCCCUUUUCAUAGGACAGUGGGAGUUUAAUCAUGGACAACAAUUCUUCUUCAGAUUAGAACUUAAUUGGAGGACAGAUUGGCAGCUCAGCCGACCUUACUGUCAUCGCCAUUAGCCAAAUAAAGAUAAACCUUGACACUGCCAGUUUCCUCAAUAUUCUCAUGCAUUCAUUUCUUGGAAUU